AACGAACGCUGGCGGCAUGCCUAACACAUGCAAGUCGAACGAGACCUUCGGGUCUAGUGGCGCACGGGUGCGUAACGCGUGGGAACCUGCCUUUAGGUUCGGAAUAACUCAGAGAAAUUUGAGCUAAUACCGGAUGAUGUCUUCGGACCAAAGAUUUAUCGCCUUUAGAUGGGCCCGCGUUGGAUUAGCUAGUUAGUGGGGUAAAGGCCUACCAAGGCGACGAUCCAUAGCUGGUCUGAGAGGAUGAUCAGCCACACUGGGACUGAGACACGGCCCAGACUCCUACGGGAGGCAGCAGUGGGGAAUAUUGGACAAUGGGCGAAAGCCUGAUCCAGCAAUGCCGCGUGAGUGAUGAAGGCCUUAGGGUUGUAAAGCUCUUUUACCCGAGAUGAUAAUGACAGUAUCGGGAGAAUAAGCUCCGGCUAACUCCGUG
rnacentral:rRNA from 1 species